rnacentral:lncRNA from 1 species
GUCAUUUAAGGGCUAGCCUCCAAAAGGAGAAUGUCAGGUGGAUGAAGGCUGCUCCCUGAGAAGGAUUGUUCUGUAAUCAGAGACCCUCUUGCUGGUUGGUUGCUGCUGCCAUGAUAGCCCACUGAGCCUCCCUUCAAAGACCUGCAACUUCCUAUCUCUGCUGAAGCAGGAGUAGCAGCCAAUAAGACAAAGCUGUAUUUCCUUCCUUUGGUUAUCUGUUUCUUGGAUGCUCAACGCCUGCUCUUUUUCACCCUGCAUUUGUGCAUUCCUAUCUCUGAAUAUUAAUUCUGUAUUACAAAUAAAUAAUCCCACUCUGAAUGAGUAUACCCCUGUUGGUACCUCUUGCCCUGGGGGAGAAGUAAGUCUUGUCACAAACAGGGAGCUACUGAUCUGUAUUUAAGAUGAAGCUAAGAAACAACGUGACUAUCAAUGUUGCUUGCUCCAAAAGUAAUUCCUCAAAUUUAUUUCCAGGGAAAUUAUAACAAAGAGCACAAUAACACUGCUCAACAGAAAAAAUUCUCAGCAACAAAACACCAUUUUUCAACACAGCCACCACCGUUAGGUAUACAUUUUCACCAGCAAUAAACAAGAGCUUUCAUGCCUCUCAUAAAAACCUGCACUAGUGCUAAUGACCCACUAUCACACAGCUGCUGUGAUGGCGUUGUUGCUGAAAUACAUACCCCAC